rnacentral:lncRNA from 1 species
AACUUUAGAGGUAGAAAGAAUAGAGAAAUAGGUUAACACAAAAGACGUAUUAGUUAAUCAGCUAACAAUUUUAUUUGCAUUCUUUCAACCUUUAAUAAACUAUAAUCAUUCACACAACAUAUACAGAAUGAAUGGGUUUUGAAAAACAAAAAUGUAGGUUAUCAAACAUUUCUUACCUGUUAAACAUCACAGUUUUUCUUCAUUCUAAUAUUUUAAUAAAGUUCACUAUCUCAAACCCAAAAAAUCAUUUCCAAACAGUAAAACGAACCCAAUAUUAAACCCAGCAAACCACAUGUAAAAUAUGACAUCAAUUAUAGGAAAAUAAUUCAUUGUUAGUUAAUAAUAACACCCUUCAAUUCGAGCUAGGUUGUAGAAGAUGUUUGCUUUAUCAGCUCUUUUUUCCCUGUCUUUUAUGUUUUGUUUCAGAUUUGGAGAUUUCUCAAUCUGUUCCUUAUCUUCCCUCAGUACUGUUUUGGUUGAUUAAUGAGUUUUGGAAAGGAAGAAAGGACAUGCAAGGGGUUGGAUUAAAGGUAAAUGACUUUAGAUGGUUGUUGUCUUUGAAUAAAUUUGAGAAGAAGAGGAAAAUGGAGGAGGAAUGAAGAAGACGAUGAACAGUAACCAAGUGUUGGUGUUUUUAGAAUGUUUUUGAAAGUGUGUACUGGAAAUGAAAGAAAAUGAAGGGGAAGAUGAGUUAGUACUCAUGAGUGAAGGAGAAAAAGAGAGAAAAAUAAAGGUGGCG